rnacentral:rRNA from 1 species
AUUGAACGCUGGCGGCAGGCCUAACACAUGCAAGUCGAACGAGUGGCGGACGGGUGAGUAAUGUCUGGGAAACUGCCCGAUGGAGGGGGAUAACUACUGGAAACGGUAGCUAAUACCGCAUACCAUCGGAUGUUCCCAGAGGGGAUUAGCUAGUAGGUGGGGUAACUGGUCACCUAGGGGACGAUCCCUAGCUGGUCUGCGAGGAUGACCAGCGACACUGGAACUGAGACACGGUCCAGACUCGUACGAGAGGCAGCAUUGUGGAAUAUUGCACUAUGGGCGCAAGCCUGAUGCAGCCAUGCCGCGUGUAUGAAGAAGGCCUUCGGGUUGUAAAGUACUUGCAGCGAGGAGGCGUUACUCGCAGAAGAAGCACCGGCUAACUCCGGGCUAGCAGCCGCGGUAAUAC